CAAAUGAAUUGACGGGGCCCGCACAAGCAGUGGAGUAUGUGGUUAAUUCGAAGCAACGCGAAGAACCUUACCAGGGCUUGACAUCCCCUGACCGCGUAUGAAAGUACGUUUUCACCCUCGGGUGACAGGGAGACAGGUGGUGCAUGGUUGUCGUCAGCUCGUGUCGUGAGAUGUUGGGUUAAGUCCCGCAACGAGCGCAACCCCUACGUUUAGUUGCUAACGCGUGAAGGCGAGCACUCUAGACGAACUGCCGUUGACAAAACGGAGGAAGGUGGGAUGACGUCAAAUCAUCAUGCCCCUUAUGUUCUGGGCUACACACGUGCUACAAUGGCCGGUACAGACGGACGCAAAGCCGCGAGGUGGAGCAAAUCCUAAAAAGCCGGUCUCAGUUCGGAUUGCAGGCUGCAAUUCGCCUGCAUGAAGUCGGAAUCGCUAGUAAUCGCAGGUCAGCAUACUGCGGUGAAUACGUUCCCGGGCCUU
rnacentral:rRNA from 1 species